AUUGAACGCUGGCGGCAUGCUUUACACAUGCAAGUCGAACGGUGACAGGCCUUCGGGUGCUGACGAGCGGCGCACGGGUGAGUAAUGCAUCGGAACGUACCCAGAGGUGGGGGAUAACGCAGCGAAAGCUGUGCUAAUACCGCAUGUGAUCUGAGGAUGAAAGCGGGGGACCGAGCAGCAAUGUUUGGCCUCGCGCCUUUGGAGCGGCCGAUGUCGGAUUAGCUAGUUGGUGGGGUAAAGGCCUACCAAGGCGACGAUCCGUAGCUGGUCUGAGAGGACGACCAGCCACACUGGGACUGAGACACGGCCCAGACUCCUACGGGAGGCAGCAGUGGGGAAUUUUGGACAAUGGGCGCAAGCCUGAUCCAGCAAUGCCGCGUGCGGGAAGAAGGCCUUCGGGUUGUAAACCGCUUUUGGCAGGAACGAAACGGUGUCCGCUAAUACCGGGCGCUAAUGACGGUACCUGCAGAAUAAGCACCGGCUAACUACGUG
rnacentral:rRNA from 1 species